UUAAGUUCAGCGGGUAUCCCCACCUGAUCCGAGGCCAUACGUCAGGAUAUCAAGACCCAAAGGUUGGUUACUAAUACUUUUGCGUACUGCUUCCAUCUUAGGAGUCUUUAUAAAUUUCGACCGGUCCCACACGGGAAGGGUCAACACAAGGCUGAGCCUUAGGUUUUAAACGGCGCUCGAACAGGUGUGCCCCCCGGAAU
rnacentral:misc_RNA from 1 species